AUGGAGACACACAAUGGAGACACACACACCCACACAAUGGACACACACAUAAUGGACACACACACACACACACACACUGGACACACACACAAUGGACAGACACACACACGGACGGACACACAUACUGGACACACACACACAUACACAAUGGAAACACACACACUGGACACACACACACACACACACACACACACACAAUGGGAACACACACAAUGGACGCGCACACACACACACACACACACACAGGACACACACACACUGUACACACACAUAAUGGAAAGACACACACUGUACACACACAGGUCACAAUGGAAACACACACACACACACACAGGACACACACACACUGUACACACACAUAAUGGAAAGACACACACUGUACACACACACACACACACUGGACACACACACUGGACACACACACUGGACAUGCACACACUGGACACGCACACACACACACUGGACACGCACACUGGACACGCACACACUGGACAUGCACACACACACACACACAAUGGAAACACACACACACACUGGACACGCACAAUGGACACGCACAAUGGACACACACACACACAAUGGAAACACACACAAUGGACGCGCACACACACAAUGGGAACACACACAAUGGACGCGCACACACACACACACAAUGGACGCGGACACACACACACUGUACACACACUGUACACACACACACAGGACACAAUGGAAACACACACAGGACACACACACACUGGACACACACACUGGACAUGCACACACAAUGGACACACACACACACAAUGGACACACACACACACACACACACACACACACACACACACACACAAUGGACACACACACACACAAUGGACACACACACACACAAUGGACACACACACAAUGGACACACACACACACAAUGGACACACACACACACAAUGGACACACACACACACACAAUGGACACACACACACACACAAUGGACACACACACACACACAAUGGACACACACACACACACAAUGGACACACACACACACAAUGGACACACACACACACACACACAAUGGACACACACACACACACACACACAAUGGACACACACACACACACACAAUGGACACACACACACACACACAAUGGACACACACACACACACACACACACACACACACACACACACACACACACACACACACACACACACACACCACACACACACACACACACACACACACACACACACACACACACAAUGGACACACACACACACAAUGGACACACACAUACAAUGGACACACACAUACAAUGGACACACACACACACACAAUGGACACACACACACAAUGGACACACACAUACAAUGGACACACACAUACAAUGGACACACACACACAAUGGAAACACAAACAAUGUGUGUGUGUGCGUCUAAAGUGUGUUUGUGUGUGUGUGUGUCUCCAGUGUGUGUGUGUCCAUUGUGUGUGUCUGUGUGUGUGUCCAAUGUGUGUGUGUGUCCAGUGUGUGUGUGUGUGUGUGUGUGUCCAGUGUGUUGUGUAUGUCAUUGAGAGAUUGCCACUGGACCAACACAAAAAAGGACACAUACACACACUGGAGAUACACACAUACAGGAAACACACAGACAGUGGACACACACACACAGUCAGCAUAUAA
rnacentral:lncRNA from 1 species